GGAUGAACGCUAGCGGCAGGCUUAACACAUGCAAGUCGAACGGUAACAUUGGUGCUUGCACCAGAUGACGAGUGGCGCACGGGUGCGUAACGCGUAUGCAAUCUACCUUUUACUGGAGAAUAGCCCAGAGAAAUUUGGAAUAAUCCUCCAUAAUAUCAAUUUUUCGCAUGUUAAAUUGAUUAAAGCUCCGGCGGUAAAAGAUGAGCAUGCGUUCUAUUAGCUGGUAGGUGAGGUAACGGCUCACCUAGGCAACGAUAGAUAGGGGUCCUGAGAGGGAGAUCCCCCACACUGGUACUGAGACACGGACCAGACUCCUACGGGAGGCAGCAGUGAGGAAUAUUGGACAAUGGAGGCAACUCUGAUCCAGCCAUGCCGCGUGCAGGAUGACUGCCCUAUGGGUUGUAAACUGCUUUUAUAUAGGAAGAAACACUCCCACGUGUGGGAGCUUGACGGUACUAUAUGAAUAAGGAUCGGCUAACUCCGUGCCAGCAGCCGCGGUAAUACGUAGGGGGCGAGCGUUGUCCGGAUUUAUUGGGCGUAAAGAGCUCGUAGGCGGUUCAACAAGUCGGUCGUGAAAGUUCAGGGCUCAACCCUGAAAUGUCGAUCGAUACUGUUGUGACUAGGAUACGGUAGAGGUGAGUGGAAUUCCGAGUGUAGCGGUGAAAUGCGUAGAUAUUCGGAGGAACACCAAUUGCGAAGGCAGCUCACUGGACCGCUAUCGACGCUGAGGAGCGAAAGCUAGGGGAGCAAACAGGAUUAGAUACCCUGGUAGUCCUAGCUGUAAACGAUGGAUACUAGACGUAGGAACUGGAUUGACGGUUUCUGUGUCGUAGCUAACGCGUUAAGUAUCCCGCCUGGGGAGUACGGUCGCAAGACUAAAACUCAAAGGAAUUGACGGGACCCCGCACAAGCGGCGGAGCAUGCGGCUUAAUUCGAUGAUACCCGUAGAACCUUACCUGGACUUGACAUAUAGGGUCAAGCUAUAGAGAUAUAGUGUGCAUUAGCGCCCUAUACAGGUGGUGCAUGGCUGUCGUCAGCUCGUGUCGUGAGAUGUUGGGUUAAGUCCCGCAACGAGCGCAACCCCUGUCCUAUGUUGCCAGCAUUUAGUUGGGGACUCAUAGGAGACUGCCGGUGAUAAACCGGAGGAAGGUGGGGACGACGUCAAGUCAUCAUGCCCCUUAUGUCCAGGGCUGCACGCAUGCUACAAUGGCAAGUACAACGAGUCGCAAUACCGCGAGGUGGAGCAAAUCUCUUAAAGCUUGUCUCAGUUCGGAUAGGAGUCUGCAACUCGACUCCUUGAAGUUGGAGUCGCUAGUAAUCGCAAAUCAGCAAAGUUGCGGUGAAUACGUUCUCGGGGUUUGCACUCACCGC
rnacentral:rRNA from 1 species